CACCUCUCAAGGUUACACCUGGAGAGUUUCAAGUACUCUACCAGUCUCAGCUACUAGAGGUAGAGUCAAGCAGAGGUGCACCCAUUCCAUUCCUAGCUUGGCCAGUGGCCAGCGAGUGGAAGGCAAUCUGCUACAAAU